AGUGUGUGAAAAUUUCUACUCUCUCCCCCUCUGUUUUCUGACAUCUCUGAAAAGAUGUGGGAGAGAAAAAAGAAAAGAACAGAAACGAUUCUAAUACAUAUUAGGCAGAAACCAAGAGCAAAGCUACGACAUGGACUUUUUUGUUCUCUGAGGCUAAGCAAAUUUCCGUGAUGCAAGAUACAGCAUACACCACUGCUUUGAUGAGGAUGGACCUGCUUCAUCUGCAUGCUGGCAAGCAGAGAACCCAUAUUUCUCUGCUAUGUGUACCAAAGCCUCUUCAAACUACAGCAGAUAAAAAAACGAGAUGGAGUAAGAAGAUCACCACUUUACUGGCCCAGUGGUAACUCAAUGCCUUUUGAUAUCACACUUCCACCAUUAAACUUUCCUGUGAUCUUCUAAUUCAAAAUCUGCUGUCACAGAUACCUCAUUGUCAGGUUAUAUAAAGCAAAUGUCAACUCAGUUUGUACUGUCUCAGAUAGCCUGAUGUUCUUCAGUGAUGCCCGCGCUCUCUAUAAUCCUCUCCCCAAAAUGAUUCAAAAGAGUAUGCUUCUUAAAAGGCACAGCUUGCUGAAGAGCUUAGGAAGGACUUAGUGAUGAAAGCUUAGUAGAUUCUCCUGCUUAG